rnacentral:rRNA from 1 species
AUUGAACGCUGGCGGCAGGCCUAACACAUGCAAGUCGAGCGGAAGGGGCUUCGGCCCCGAGAGCGGCGGACGGGUGAGGAUAGCGUGGGAAUCUGCCUGUAGAUGGGGGAUAGCCCGGAGAAAUCCGGAUUAAUACCGCAUAAUACCUGACGGCUAAAGUGGAGGAUCGCAAGACUUCACGUUUACAGAUUAGCCCACGUCAGAUUAGCUAGUUGGUAGGGUAAAGGCCUACCAAGGCGACGAUCUGUAGCUGGCCUGAGAGGGUGGCCAGCCACACUGGAACUGAGACACGGUCCAGACUCCUACGGGAGGCAGCAGUGGGGAAUAUUGGACAAUGGGCGCAAGCCUGAUCCAGCCAUGCCGCGUGUGUGAAGAAGGCCUUCGGGUUGUAAAGCACUUUAAGUUGGGAGGAAGGUUCCAAGGCUAAUACCUUUGGGAAUUGACGUUACCGACAGAAUAAGCACCGGCUAAUUCCGUGCCAGCAGCCGCAGUAA